GAUGAACGCUGGCGGCGUGCUUAACACAUGCAAGUCGAACGAUGAAGCCCAGCUUGCUGGGUGGAGUAGUGGCGAACGGGUGAGUAACACGUGAGUAACCUGCCCUUAACUCUGGGAUAAGCCUGGGAAACUGGGUCUAAUACCGGAUAGGAGCGUCCACCGCAUGGUGGGUGUUGGAAAGAUUUAGCGGUUUUGGAUGGACUCGCGGCCUAUCAGCUUGUUGGUGAGGUAAUGGCUCACCAAGGCGACGACGGGUAGCCGGCCUGAGAGGGUGACCGGCCACACUGGGACUGAGACACGGCCCAGACUCCUACGGGAGGCAGCAGUGGGGAAUAUUGCACAAUGGGCGAAAGCCUGAUGCAGCGACGCCGCGUGAGGGAUGACGGCCUUCGGGUUGUAAACCUCUUUCAGUAGGGAAGAAGCGAAAGUGACGGUACCUGCAGAAGAAGCACCGGCUAACUACGUG
rnacentral:rRNA from 1 species